rnacentral:rRNA from 1 species
UACGAGGGGGGCGAGCGUUGCUCGGAAUUACUGGGCGUAAAGCGCACGUAGGCGGCUUCUUAAGUCGGUGGUGAAAUCCUGGAGCUCAACUCCAGAACUGCCUUCGAUACUGGGAAGCUCGAGUCCGGGAGAGGUGAGUGGAACUGCGAGUGUAGAGGUGAAAUUCGUAGAUAUUCGCAAGAACACCAGUGGCGAAGGCGGCUCACUGGCCCGAUACUGACGCUGAGGUGCGAAAGCGUGGGGAGCAAACAGG